CUUCGGCCCAAGCGCAGCCGACGGCUCUGGGAGGAGAGGAGUCACACGGCCGUAAGGCACUGGAGGAAGUGGGCAAAUGACAGAACCUGCUAGAAGCUCUCUCCUUUCCUGACGGAUCAACGAAGAAAUAGAGUGCUGACGCUAUCCCAUGACACAGAGCAUGGCAAAAACAGGAAGGAGAGGAAAACGGGAAAAUGUGCACUUCUUCGACACAUCUACAAACCGUUUGCCAUUAGCCCAACACAGCCUUAUGUCUGGGGUUGAACCCAGGACCUCUGGCACAGGAAGCACUCUAUCACUAUCAGCACAUCCCGCCAACUGUGGGGAGCUGAGGAAGCCAGGAGUGAGUAUGUGAAGAACAGAUAAAGUCCUGAGUGAAUGUAUACUACUGACAUGGACACUGUCAUGUCAAGGACCAAUGCCUCAGGCCCAUGGGAAAUGGGCAAAGCCUUCCCCACAUUGGUCAGGCUCAGAACUGGUAAAGUCUUCCCCUGGUAUGAGUGCAAAUGUUGACAGUGUACAAUUAUGAGUAUUUACUAAUGGUUGACCCAUGUCAAACUGGCAGGUCACGGAUGUUGGAUGAUUACAGCCUGAGAUUGUUCACUUAGAGACCUACCAUGACCAGCUCAUUCUCUACCUCUGUGCUGUACCUAAUAAAUACACUGAGGUUCCAAGUUGCAUGUAGUAGGUGGCGCCUCUCCAUCAGAGCGUGAGCACCC